AGCGGCAUGGAUGCCGCUGGUUUUAUCAGAAGCGAUGUUUCGGCAGCACCGAAACAUCGCCAUUAAAAGUGUACACGGAUGUACACUUUUAAUGAUGC
rnacentral:sRNA from 1 species